rnacentral:rRNA from 1 species
CAGCAGCCGCGGUAAUACGUAGGGUGCGAGCGUUAAUCGGAAUUACUGGGCGUAAAGCGUGCGCAGGCGGUUCGUUAAGACAGAUGUGAAAUCCCCGGGCUUAACCUGGGAACUGUAUUUGUGACUGGCGAGCUAGAGUAUGGCAGAGGGGGGUAGAAUUCCACGUGUAGCAGUGAAAUGCGUAGAGAUGUGGAGGAACACCGAUGGCGAAGGCAGCCCCCUGGGCCAAUACUGACGCUCAUGCACGAAAGCGUGGGGAGCAAACAGGAUUAGAUACCCGGGUAGUCCCUGUCUCUUAUAC